CCGCCUCCCGCGCCCAGUCCCUCUCCCGCUCCCUCUCCCGGGCCGCCGCCUCCUCAGCGCCGCGCGCGUCUCCCAUCAGACUCCCCGCCCCCAGUGCAGCGCCGUGCUGGUGGCAGGGCGGCGGCAGCCAGAACAAGGCCGGGCCCUUCCGCGCGUGUCAGAGGCUGCGCGGCGCCGGGCUUAUUUAGCUGUGGCACCGAGGCAGCUCUCUGCCUCGAGGCUGGAGGGCAACGCGGUCUGAGGCAGCCAAAGACCGGGCCAACUCGCUGCCAAAAAGGGGCCGGAUUGCUUCCGGAUCUAGGAGGCAAGCGGGACUUCUCCCUCUCCCUACUGGACGCACAACUCAGGAUCCUGAUGGCUUCUUACCGCCCCGUCGGCUGUUUUUUUUCUCCAGAGGAAAGCGUACACAAGAAACCUUUCCUGGAGAAGGAAUAGGUGAUAAGAAGACGGGAAGAAACAAGCAUCUGUUGCUACUGUCCCCAUUUUGCUGAUGUGGAAACUGAGGCUUGAAAGGGACCAAGAACCUAAUGAAAUGUUCCCAAGGUUGAAAUGGUAAUAAAUAGCCAGAAAUGAGGAAAAGGCAAAAAGUUAUCCAGGCUCGCAAGUCAAAGCCAUACUGGAUCUAAGCUAAACUUUCUUAUACAGGAUAGUCUACAAAAAACAAUAAGGGGACAUUAAUUUAUUCAUAUUAAAAAUACUUACUGAAGACACACUACGUUCCAGUGACUAGUACUGGGAAUAAAGAGGCGAGCAAAAGAGACUUACCAAGUUCCUGUUGCUAAAUCAGUAAGACUCAAGGAAGUAGCAACAAGUUAGAGUAGACGUGGUAACUACCUUCAAGAAAUUUACAAUUCCAAACGAGUCGUUAGGAAAUACAGUAUGAGGUGAAAACAGUUAAAAAGUGAAAGAAAUAAAACUAAAGAUAAUGAUGUUAAAAAAAACCCCACAUUAUCAGGCACUGUUAUAGCCUUCAUAUGUCAUUUCAUCUUGUCAAAGAAUGUCUCAAAAGACAGCCACAGGAAAGAAAAGAAAAACUUUAUUUGCAAAGCUGCAAGGGAGUGAGACUUCCAAAAGGACUGAUUCACCAAAUAUGAGACAUCAAGUUUUAAAGAUUAGUUAAAGUAUAGAGGGAAGAAAAGAACACAGAAUUAAAUUGACUUUACAUGCACUGAAAGGGAAUCUAAGCCAAGGAAAGUUGGAAUGGUAGCCUGUAAGGGGACAGCUACAGAAAGGGCCAGGGAAGAAGAAUUCCUAAUUGAUGUUUUCCUAUGCCAUUUCCUGAGUUCGUGACUGUGGACGAGUUAUCUCUCCAAAUCUCAUUGUCCGCUUCUGUGAAAUGCUGGUAGCAGGGAUGACUGCAAAGGCUUGUGGUCAAGAUUAAAUAACAUAAGAAAGUGCUGCUAGGUCAGCAAGUACUCAACUGAUUGAGAUCUUGAAUUCUUCUGCAUUCUUUCUAGUUUCCUUUCAGGUUAAUCAGAGGGUCCACCAUACCACGGAGCUGGCGAAUCCUACAUGUGUUUCCCAUAACCAUUAAACCAAUAAAUACAAGUGAAGACAUAAAACUAAUGGUUCUAGUCCCAAUUCUGGUUGUAAACUCCAGAAUUAGAUUGUAAACUCCCUGAGAACAAGGAAAAGUAUUUUCUCCUUUGUAUCUCCCUCAGCUCUCUCAAAUGUUUGUUGAAUUAUUCAGUGCAGCC
rnacentral:lncRNA from 10 species